rnacentral:lncRNA from 1 species
GGAGAAUGCGCAGCCGCAUGGGAUGAGGUGGAGGAGUUGAGUGCUGCUGCUAGCCAUGCCAAGGACAAGAAGAAAGGGUCUGACCCUUUGGAGGAGUAUUGCAAGGACAACCCUGAGACAGACGAGUGCCGCACUUAUGAAGAUUGAAAUGGUUUUUACUUCAUGAACCUUUUUCAAUGAUCAAACUUUAGAUAUGUUUAUUAAUUUUGGUUUAUGUAACGCUGGAGAUGCUGUGUGGUGUCUAUUAUUUAUAUGAUGUUCUAUUAAUUAAUUAGCACAUACUUAUACCCUACCUUCGUCAAAGAUAAAUUUG